rnacentral:lncRNA from 1 species
UGGAAAAGAUUGGAACCUGAAAGCAAUAGUGAUUGGAUUGUUAUGGGUGUUUUGUGUCUUCUUUGCGCGGUGCUUGCGAUGUUUCUUAUGGUGCGUGGGUCUCGUGGGCGAUCUUUGUUUGAAAGGUGUUUCCAUGGGUUUGGAAGUUCUAGGAACAGUCGGUCAGUCAGGAGCUUUUCUUUGCUUCCUCUAGUAUGCAUCUCCAUUGUUUCCGCAGGAGGUGCGUGCCUCUCCUUGCCUGGGGGUCUGACUGUUCUUGCUUCUUGCCAAUUUGCUGUUGUAUCGUUCUCUAUAGCUGCUGGGGCUGGGGCGGUGUUAUUUUUCCCUUUUUU